rnacentral:rRNA from 1 species
AAACAUGCAAGUCGAGCGGAGUGAUGGUGCUUGCACUAUCACUUAGCGGCGGACGGCGUGAGUAAUGCUUAGGAAUCUGCCUAUUAGUGGGGGACAACAUUUCGAAAGGAAUGCUAAUACCGCAUACGUCCUACGGGAGAAAGCAGGGGAUCUUCGGACCUUGCGCUAAUAGAUGAGCCUAAGUCGGAUUAGCUAGUUGGUGGGGUAAAGGCCUACCAAGGCGACGAUCUGUAGCGGGUCUGAGAGGAUGAUCCGCCACACUGGGACUGAGACACGGCCCAGACUCCUACGGGAGGCAGCAGUGGGGAAUAUUGGACAAUGGGCGCAAGCCUGAUCCAGCCAUGCCGCGUGUGUGAAGAAGGCCUUAUGGUUGUAAAGCACUUUAAGCGAGGAGGAGGCUACUGAAGUUAAUACCUUCAGAUAGUGGACGUUACUCGCAGAAUAAGCACCGGCUAACUCUGUGCCAGCAGCCGCGGUAAUACAGAGGGUGCAAGCGUUAAUCGGAUUUACUGGGCGUAAAGCGCGCGUAGGCGGCUAAUUAAGUCAAAUGUGAAAUCCCCGAGCUUAACUUGGGAAUUGCAUUCGAUACUGGUUAGCUAGAGUGUGGGAGAGGAUGGUAGAAUUCCAGGUGUAGCGGUGAAAUGCGUAGAGAUCUGGAGGAAUACCGAUGGCGAAGGCAGCCAUCUGGCCUAACACUGACGCUGAGGUGCGAAAGCAUGGGGAGCAAACAGGAUUAGAUACCCUGGUAGUCCAUGCCGUAAACGAUGUCUACUAGCCGUUGGGGCCUUUGAGGCUUUAGUGGCGCAGCUAACGCGAUAAGUAGACCGCCUGGGGAGUACGGUCGCAAGACUAAAACUCAAAUGAAUUGACGGGGGCCCGCACAAGCGGUGGAGCAUGUGGUUUAAUUCGAUGCAACGCGAAGAACCUUACCUGGCCUUGACAUAGUAAGAACUUUCCAGAGAUGGAUUGGUGCCUUCGGGAACUUACAUACAGGUGCUGCAUGGCUGUCGUCAGCUCGUGUCGUGAGAUGUUGGGUUAAGUCCCGCAACGAGCGCAACCCUUUUCCUUAUUUGCCAGCGAGUAAUGUCGGGAACUUUAAGGAUACUGCCAGUGACAAACUGGAGGAAGGCGGGGACGACGUCAAGUCAUCAUGGCCCUUACGGCCAGGGCUACACACGUGCUACAAUGGUCGGUACAAAGGGUUGCUACCUAGCGAUAGGAUGCUAAUCUCAAAAAGCCGAUCGUAGUCCGGAUUGGAGUCUGCAACUCGACUCCAUGAAGUCGGAAUCGCUAGUAAUCGCGGAUCAGAAUGCCGCGGUGAAUACGUUCCCGGGCCUUGUACACACCGCCCGUCACACCAUGGGAGUUUGUUGCACCAGAAGUAGGUAGUCUAACCGCAAGGAGGACGCCUUACCACCGGUGUGGCCGAUGACUGGGGGGAAGUUGUAAACAAAG